GACGAACGCUGGCGGCGUGCCUAAUACAUGCAAGUGGGACGCAAGGACACACACUGUGCUUGCACACCGUGUUUUCUUGAGUCGCGAACGGGUGAGUAACGCGUAGGUAACCUGCCUAUUAGCGGGGGAUAACUAUUGGAAACGAUAGCUAAUACCGCAUAAUAUUAAUUAUUGCAUGAUAAUUGAUUGAAAGAUGCAAGCGCAUCACUAGUAGAUGGACCUGCGUUGUAUUAGCUAGUUGGUAAGGUAAGAGCUUACCAAGGCGACGAUACAUAGCCGACCUGAGAGGGUGAUCGGCCACACUGGGACUGAGACACGGCCCAGACUCCUACGGGAGGCAGCAGUAGGGAAUCUUCGGCAAUGGACGAAAGUCUGACCGAGCAACGCCGCGUGAGUGAAGAAGGUUUUCGGAUCGUAAAGCUCUGUUGUAAGUCAAGAACGUGUGUGAGAGUGGAAAGUUCACACAGUGACGGUAGCUUACCAGAAAGGGACGGCUAACUACGUG
rnacentral:rRNA from 1 species